UACGUCCCUCUGAGCUCACUUCCGUCGGUUUGAGUUGGCUGUUCUUCCAGCGCCUCACAGCUUUUGUUCUCCCAUUUCCAACUAGCCAGCGCUGCUGAGAAGAGGGAAUCAACCAGUUGGGAAGCGGCAAAGAGUAACGGACCCGUCGGUCGCACAAAAACGCCACAUGCAAAGCGCGGUCUGCAAAGAGGAUACGCGGUUCUCCGUAGUUACAUAAUUGGACUACUUUUUCCUCCCCGUAUACUGUUGGGUUUAUUUUUCUCCACGCUUUAUUUUUUGCACCGAAACUGACUGCCCCCCCCUACACCUCCAAACUCAACAAAAUGGAGAACGACGACAAAUAUCUCCCCGAGCUUCUGGCAGAGAAGGACAGCCUGGACUCGUCGUUCACGCAUGCCAUGAAACUUUUAAACGCGGAAAUUGACAGAAUCCAGAAAGGUGAGACUAAAAAGGAAACUGAGACAUACCUGGACCUUUUCACGACGAAGAACAUCAAACUCAAGGAGCGAGUGCUCAUACCUGUCAAACAGUACCCGAAGUUCAAUUUUGUGGGGAAGAUUUUGGGACCUCAGGGCAACACAAUCAAACGUCUGCAGGAGGAGACUGGAGCCAAGAUCUCUGUGCUGGGCAAAGGAUCCAUGAGAGACAAAGCCAAGGAGGAGGGGCUGAGGAAAAGCGGUGAGCCCAAGUAUGCCCACCUCUCCAUGGAGCUGCACGUGUUCAUCGAGGUUUUUGCGCCUGUGCCCGAGGCUUACCUGCGCAUGGCCCACGCCAUGGAGGAGGUCAAGAAGUUCCUGUUUCCGGAUAUGAUGGAUGAUAUCUGCCAGGAGCAGUUCAUGGAGAUGAGCUACCUGAACGGAGGCCAGGAUCACGGAGCUCGAGGCCGAGGUGGCCUGCCAGUCAGGGGCCGCGGUGUCCCCCCUGCAGGAGCACACAGGGGCAGGGGAAUGCCGCCUCGUGGUGCUGCCGCCAGGGGAGGUGUGACUCGAGGUGGCCCAGCCAGAGGUGGCGCAGUGAGGGGUGCCCCAGCAGGCAGAGGAGGACCUCCCGCAGCACCCGCCAGGGGAGCUGUGGCACCCCGUGCCAGACUCAUAGCUGGAGGACCUCCCCAGAGGAUGGCACCACCGCCUCCACACCAGCACAAUCCCGGUGCAGCUGCUGAAGGCUAUGACGAAUAUGGCUACGAUGAGAGCUACACAGACACGGCCUACGAGUCUUACGACAGCUAUUACAGUCAGCCGCAGGCAGAGCCAGAAUAUUAUGACUAUGGACAUGGGGAGACCACAGAGUCGUACGAGUCCUAUGGCCAGGAUGACUGGAACGGCACCCAGCGGACAACUCCAGGGAAGGCCCCUCCCCCCUCUCGAGGCGGCAAGACGACUUACCGGGAGCACCCAUAUCGACAGUAUUGAAGCGGACUCGCCACCCUUAGUGUCGCCCUGACAAGCGCCUGUCUACCACGGCAGCUCUCGCUUUAAGAAGCCCGACAAAAUAAAAUUCUGAAAUGGCCUUUUUUAAACCAGCAGUCAGAUGACCCAGAGGUAAGACCUCUAAAAUAACCUGGAUAGCUUCCUAAUGUGUAUAGAGUUCUAAAGCAUUGAAUGCCUGGGUACGUAUAAGACUUUUUCAAUCCUCCUACCUGUGGUCGUAAUCCUUAAUGAGAAUUGCUUUUAUAGCAUCUGAAAAUUAACUGAGUUCAAACCACCAUUCAGGUCUAGGCUUCAUUGUCAUGAAUGACAGCUGGCGCGAUGGCUACUUUAGUACAGAGUGUAAUGGCAGUGCAAUGGAGAGGAUGGUUAUAACCUAGAGAACUCCACUGUAAAGGUAACCUAACCCUAAAUGUUUAAUUUCUUAGUGUGUUUAUCCUUUGACAUAAACUUUCUGGUAAAUGCGUACAAUUUCUUAAAAUAUCAUUACAGUCAUGGCAUCAAAAAAGAAUCGACUCAAAAGCACGGCUAUCGGUCACUGAGUGCCCAGAGACUGACGGUCGGCUGGACAGAGACCAUACAAACGUCAGUUGAAGCCGUGCACGGGAGCAGCUCAGCAUUGUGUCGUGGUCAGACGGAGCCUAAAAGGAGUGGCCUCAAGGCCCAGUUCUGUUCCUGGCAGGGGUUGUGGGAGGUGAUGGGGGUGGGUGGGGGAAGGGAAGAGGAGCAAAUGGGUGGUGAGAGGUGGCCGGCUGCCAUGUCAUCCAAAGGAGCCAGUUGAUUUAGAGGUUGGGGGGAGAUGAGGAAAAAGAGAAAGGAGCCGGUUGAGACUGCAGCUGGUCAGCGAGCAGACUGAGAGACUCCCAUUUCACGUGGACGCUUUCCUCCUAUUUAUAUAUUUCUCGUCACUAUCGAAUUAGAGCACAUUAUUCUCGUGUUAAUUAUUUUCAAGUCUGGAAGACACCCACUCGAAGCCCGCGCUGAUUGUGCACACUUUUGCGCGUGGCUUCCGUAGACCACCCCGUGGUCCGAGCAAUGUAAUUGUCACAGCCUAAUUUACCAUAAAAUGAGCGCUCCUGUUAUAGCAGGCUGUGAAAUCAUUUUAAUUUCCUUUAACUGUUGAGUUUAACAUAAAAGGAAACUUUUACUUUCCACCAAGGCGAGCUGUAUCCGUUUCACCAGCCAGCAGUUUUGUAUCCCGGCACUGAAUUAGAAUCCAGGCUCAAGAGUUAGAAAUGAUCGGUGUCUCGCUGAGGACGAGUUCGCGAAACACAUUCUUGCCACCUCUCGCACGAGCCCCAUGCGACGCCGCGGAUAAUGAAUGCUAAUGCUAAGAACAUGCAAAUGUUUCCUAUUUGCAUGUGCUUGCAUGUACCCUCGCCGCGUAUGUGAAAGGCUUUCAUAAGCAGCGCUGGCCUGUUCUUUGCAGUUCAGCAUCCAAGAAUUAGAAUUCGACGAGAUGGAGUCGCAUGUGAGAAAGGGACAGAGGGUGAAGGCAGACAUUACUAACAUCCCUGCCAUCCAUCCAUCUCUCCAUCAUGCUUGUGUUGAUUUGAUUCCCCUCUCUGCCAUUUUCUGCCAUUAUCACUGAUGAUAUUACAGCUGCCUGUGGUGCUGAGUUACAUUUAGAGGUCAAAACUGUACUUUCCUGUAUUAAAAACAAAUUUCUGUCCCGAUCCGCUGGUCAGAGGCAGCAUUAGCCAAGUCAGAGGCUCCAUUUCGUUUAUUGAAAAAGCCAGCAGCUCUGAGGAUAGAACAUUAGAUAUUAGGAUAGAAACCAUCAUUUGAGAUGAAAUGUCAACGGGCCAUAGCCAAAACAGACCAUUUUUCAGUCUUUAUGUGCCAUUAUGUCUAAAAUAAUGAUUUCUGCGUCUCCUGUAAUCUAAUGAAAGAUGAGUGAUGGUGUGGAAGCCGCUUCCUUUGUUUGGAUCGAUGGAACUGUCAAAAGUGUGAGGUUUGGAAGUAAAUACUACUGUGCAUUGAUCAAUAAAGGUUGACUUGAAUAUAAAA